GGUGAACGCUGGCGGCGUGCUUAACACAUGCAAGUCGAACGGGAAAUACUUCAUUGAGACUUCGGUGGAUUUGAUCUAUUUCUAGUGGCGGACGGGUGAGUAACGCGUGGGUAACCUGCCUUAUACAGGAGGAUAACAGUCAGAAAUGGCUGCUAAUACCGCAUAAGCGCACAGAGCUGCAUGGCUCAGUGUGAAAAACUCCGGUGGUAUAAGAUGGACCCGCGUUGGAUUAGCUGGUUGGUGGGGUAACGGCCCACCAAGGCGACGAUCCAUAGCCGGCCUGAGAGGGUGAACGGCCACAUUGGGACUGAGACACGGCCCAGACUCCUACGGGGGGCAGCAGUGGGGAAUAUUGCACAAUGGGGGAAACCCUGAUGCAGCGACGCCGCGUGAAGGAAGAAGUAUCUCGGUAUGUAAACUUCUAUCAGCAGGGAAGAUAGUGACGGUAC
rnacentral:rRNA from 1 species